CAGAGAACACAUCUUCUCCCGCGAAGUUUCAAAACCCCAAACCUCAUCCCUCCAUCUCCAUCUCCACCGUCCCCCUCCCUCACCUACCGCGCUGCCGCCCAUGAGCACCGUCGAUCGCCACUACUGCCGACCAAGAGCACCAACGCCGACCACCGCCGCUCUCUCUGCAAGACUGCUAUUGCUCUCUCUCUCUCUAUGAACAUACGGAAAUUGGUUGGGUUGGUGAUUGGGGACGAAGACAAACGAUUAGCCGAGGCUGGCUGGACCGUUAGGUGGCGCUGUCCACCGACUCCUGUGCAUAUAUAGAAUAUGGGUUACUUGCUUCAUGCUAUCAAUGACUAAUCCGAACAAAUCCUUUGAGAGAAUUGGAUGAUGAGUUGAAAGAGUCACUUUAUGAAUUCUUGCCUUCUUGGAAGCAAAAGCUGCAAAGGGAUGAGUUGCAAGAGUCACAACAUUCAAAAAAAUAUAAUUUUGUUGUUCAAAGGCAAUCUUGUUGCCCGUAAAACAUUACAAGCAAUAACCAUUUUGAACAUAGCCAGACAUCAAAGCAUAGCAACAUCAAUACUACCUGUUUUUGCAUA